rnacentral:rRNA from 1 species
AGACCCGAAACCCGGUGAUCUAGCCAUGGGCAGGUUGAAGGUUGGGUAACACUAACUGGAGGACCGAACCGACUAAUGUUGAAAAAUUAGCGGAUGACCUGUGGCUGGGGGUGAAAGGCCAAUCAAACCGGGAGAUAGCUGGUUCUCCCCGAAAGCUAUUUAGGUAGCGCCUCGUGAAUUCAUCUCCGGGGGUAGAGCACUGUUUCGGCUAGGGGGUCAUCCCGACUUACCAACCCGAUGCAAACUGCGAAUACCGGAGAAUGUUAUCACGGGAGACACACGGCGGGUGCUAACGUCCGUCGUGAAGAGGGAAACAACCCAGACCGCCAGCUAAGGUCCCAAAGUCAUGGUUAAGUGGGAAACGAUGUGGGAAGGCCCAGACAGCCAGGAUGUUGGCUUAGAAGCAGCCAUCAUUUAAAGAAAGCGUAAUAGCUCACUGGUCGAGUCGGCCUGCGCGGAAGAUGUAACGGGGCUAAACCAUGCACCGAAGCUGCGGCAGCGACACUCAGGUGUUGUUGGGUAGGGGAGCGUUCUGUAAGCCUGCGAAGGUGGCCUGUGAGGGUUGCUGGAGGUAUCAGAAGUGCGAAUGCUGACAUAAGUAACGAUAAAGCGGGUGAAAAGCCCGCUCGCCGGAAGACCAAGGGUUCCUGUCCAACGUUAAUCGGGGCAGGGUGAGUCGACCCCUAAGGCGAGGCCGAAAGGCGUAGUCGAUGGGAAACGGGUUAAUAUUCCCGUACUUGGUGUUACUGCGAAGGGGGGACGGAGAAGGCUAUGUUGGCCGGGCGACGGUUGUCCCGGUUUAAGCGUGUAGGUGUGUGUUCCAGGUAAAUCCGGUUCACUUUAACACUGAGGCGUGAUGACGAGGCACUACGGUGCUGAAGCAACAAAUGCCCUGCUUCCAGGAAAAGCCUCUAAGCAUCAGGUAACAUCAAAUCGUACCCCAAACCGACACAGGUGGUCAGGUAGAGAAUACCAAGGCGCUUGAGAGAACUCGGGUGAAGGAACUAGGCAAAAUGGUGCCGUAACUUCGGGAGAAGGCACGCUGACACGUAGGUGAAGUGAUUUACUCAUGGAGCUGAAGUCAGUCGAAGAUACCAGCUGGCUGCAACUGUUUAUUAAAAACACAGCACUGUGCAAACACGAAAGUGGACGUAUACGGUGUGACGCCUGCCCGGUGCCGGAAGGUUAAUUGAUGGGGUCAGCGCAAGCGAAGCUCCUGAUCGAAGCCCCGGUAAACGGCGGCCGUAACUAUAACGGUCCUAAGGUAGCGAAAUUCCUUGUCGGGUAAGUUCCGACCUGCACGAAUGGCGUAAUGAUGGCCAGGCUGUCUCCACCCGAGACUCAGUGAAAUUGAACUCGCUGUGAAGAUGCAGUGUACCCGCGGCAAGACGGAAAGACCCCGUGAACCUUUACUAUAGCUUGACACUGAACAUUGAGCCUUGAUGUGUAGGAUAGGUGGGAGGCUUUGAAGCGUGGACGCCAGUCUGCGUGGAGCCGACCUUGAAAUACCACCCUUUAAUGUUUGAUGUUCUAACGUGGACCCGUGAUCCGGGUUGCGGACAGUGUCUGGUGGGUAGUUUGACUGGGGCGGUCUCCUCCUAAAGAGUAACGGAGGAGCACGAAGGUUGGCUAAUCCUGGUCGGACAUCAGGAGGUUAGUGCAAUGGCAUAAGCCAGCUUGACUGCGAGCGUGACGGCGCGAGCAGGUGCGAAAGCAGGUCAUAGUGAUCCGGUGGUUCUGAAUGGAAGGGCCAUCGCUCAACGGAUAAAAGGUACUCCGGGGAUAACAGGCUGAUACCGCCCAAGAGUUCAUAUCGACGGCGGUGUUUGGCACCUCGAUGUCGGCUCAUCACAUCCUGGGGCUGAAGUAGGUCCCAAGGGUAUGGCUGUUCGCCAUUUAAAGUGGUACGCGAGCUGGGUUUAGAACGUCGUGAGACAGUUCGGUCCCUAUCUGCCGUGGGCGCUGGAGAACUGAGGGGGGCUGCUCCUAGUACGAGAGGACCGGAGUGGACGCAUCACUGGUGUUCGGGUUGUCAUGCCAAUGGCACUGCCCGGUAGCUAAAUGCGGAAGAGAUAAGUGCUGAAAGCAUCUAAGCACGAAACUUGCCCCGAG